UACUCAUGGUGAUGACACAUACUCAAUACCUCCUUAAAUCUCUCCCAAGAUUGAUACAAAAUCUCACUGUUCUUUUGUGCAAAGGUGGAGAUUUACCUUUUUAAAGUA